GACGAACGCUGGCGGCGUGCUUAACACAUGCAAGUCGAACGAUGAACCCGGAGCUUGCUCCGGUGGAUUAGUGGCGAACGGGUGAGUAACACGUGAGUAACCUGCCCUUGACUCUGGGAUAACUGCGGGAAACUGUAGCUAAUACCGGAUACGACCCUCGGCGGCAUCGCCAGGGGGUGGAAAGAAUUUCGGUCAAGGAUGGACUCGCGGCCUAUCAGCUAGUUGGUGAGGUAACGGCUCACCAAGGCGACGACGGGUAGCCGGCCUGAGAGGGUGACCGGCCCCACUGGGACUGAGACACGGCCCAGACUCCUACGGGAGGCAGCAGUGGGGAAUAUUGCACAAUGGGCGCAAGCCUGAUGCAGCAACGCCGCGUGAGGGAUGACGGCCUUCGGGUUGUAAAGCUCUUUUACCCGGGACGAUAAUGACUGUACCGGGAGAAUAAGCCCCGGCUAACUUCGUGCCAGCCGCCGCAGUAA
rnacentral:rRNA from 1 species